AGGAGACGCACCUCCGCAGGUCGGCGCCCACUAGACUGACUGACAGGACCUACUCGACAGUACAUGAGGCACGCUCCCUCCGUAAGCGACCGGGGGUGGCGAUCCUCAUCCAUAAAAACUGCCCGCUACAAAUAACUACCACCCAGACUGACCCGGAGGGGAGAUUUCUAUAUAUAUAGGAGGCACCCUCUACACCACAAAAAUACAUCUCAUCAACGUCUACGCGCCCAACGAGCUGG